rnacentral:rRNA from 1 species
UACGUAGGGUGCAAGCGUUAUCCGGAAUUACUGGGUGUAAAGGGUGUGUAGGCGGGCUUGUGCGUCGGAAGUUAAAGACCCGGGCUUAACUCGGGAGCUGCUUUCGAUACGGCAAGUCUUGAAUGUGAGAGAGGAUGAUGGAAUUCCUGGUGUAGCGGUGAAAUGCGUAGAUAUCAGGAGGAACACCAGUAGCGAAGGCGGUCAUCUGGCUCAUCAUUGACGCUGAGGCACGAAAGCGUGGGGAGCGAACAGG